UAGGGAAUUUUCCACAAUGGGGGCAACCCUGAUGGAGCAAUGCCGCGUGAGUGAAGACGCAAUUCGUUGUGUAAAGCUCUGUUGUAAGGGAAGAAUAAGAUGUAGAGUGGAAAGCUACAUUGAUGACGGUACCUUACCAGAAAGCCACGGCUAACUACGUGCCAGCAGCCGCGGUAAUACGUAGGUGGCAAGCGUUAUCCGGAAUUAUUGGGCGUAAAGGGUGCGCAGGCGGUAAGAUAAGUUUGAGGUAAAAGGUCACAGCUCAACUGUGGUAUGCCUUGAAAACUGUUUUACUAGAGUGCAGGAGAGGGUGAUGGAAUUCCAUGUGUAGCGGUAAAAUGCGUAGAGAUAUGGAGGAACACCAGUGGCGAAGGCGGUCACCUGGCCUGUAACUGACGCUCAAGCACGAAAGCGUGGGGAGCAAAUAG
rnacentral:rRNA from 1 species